GCCUGGCUGCGAUUAGAAGCUUCAGGUAGUGGGGCAUGGAUGGAAGGGAUAGUAAGGUGAGGGGGUGGCGGGUCUCCUGCGGUGAAACGGUGGUGGAUGGUUCACCGGACGACCGUCGUUGGGGCGCUGCAACCCGUCAGGACGUCAGUUUGCUGUCGUACCGCGACACGGUCGGAUCUUAUUUCGUAAUCAUCACGUACACGUACGUACACGUAUACACGCGCGUGAGAAUUAUUAGUAAGAAUUAUUUGUUUCGGAAUCGUAACGGUUUUCUCGUGAUAAAUAAUCGAUAAUAAACGGGUAUUUAACGUGAAAUGACACUAAUCACGUGAUCGGUGAUUCGCGAUACGAAGUGAGAAAGGAUCGUUUAAUCUCUAGUUUCGAACGUUUUUUUGUUCGCGAUUGAACACGUUCGUUGAAUUUUAUGUGCAAGUGUUCGUGUUAACUCGCUUAAAUUCUGUGUAUAUGAGGUCCAGUUAAGUUUCGUGUCUUCGUAAAAAUAAAAUAUAUACGAUUCAAGGACGUAUGCUCUCGAGUGUUACAAGAGAGAGCACAGUGUUAAAAAUAAUAUAUAUUGAAACUUGGAAGGUUAAGUGAUACGUUUGUUGACAUCUAUAACAUUGUUGGAGAAUGUUAUUACGUGGAAAUUCGUGGAAUAAUAAUCAUUAGAACGCAUAUUCACAAGCAAUAUUUGAUUGAGGAGAAAGAUUUGAAUUUUUGUUUCGCGUUUUAUCCACCGUAGCGUUGUGGGCGAUCGAGAAUCGAAAGUGCGCUGCAAUCGAUCUAUCGAUAGAAUCGAAAGUUGAAAUGUUCGCGAAAGAACGUCGAAUAUGCGAAACACGAGUGUACAGUUAAUCGAGGCAUGUACGCGUAACCGUCAUGGGUCGUUAUCGAAAGAGUUUCAAUUAAAUUUCUCGUGAGGAAGGUCAAGUGCGCUGUUCAGUUUUCAGUUUUAAUUAAAAUACCCCUGAGAUUCUCUAUUGUCGUGCUUGUGUCUAAAAUUAAUUAACGACGGGUAAAGACAACGGGCAGGAGAAGGCGAAUAAGCAAGAUUAUGACAAAGUGCGAAGAAGGUAAUAACAUAACCUAUAAAAAAUCAAUGACCAUCGUGCGACAAUAGAAUUGACGGGAGUGUUUUCCGUUCGAACGAUUCGAUAUAUCGAUCGUGGAAAGGAUAGAAGAGAAAACAGUAUCGAUGUGUUUUCUGUGGUUGAAUUCGCGUGUGCGACGACUCAACAAGAGAGUUCGAUCAGAUUUUCGUUAAACGUUCGUUUUUUCGCGAGUGAGAAAUUGUGUUGCGUGCGGAAAGAGGACAUAAUCGUAGAAGGAUAAGUGAGAAAGAAAAUGGGAAAAAAAUGAGCAGCCUUUUCAAUCUGUGACGUACCUACGACGGAGCGAUGAAAACGGCAUAGCAACGGCAAUAGCUCGUCCCAACGUCCAACGGGCACGUAUUAUGUGAGGUGAAACUUGCAACGAGGGAAACGAAGAUGUCCGCCAUCAGCGUGGCUGCAUGGCUGCUCAGCGCCGUCGCUUUCGCCGCGAUUAAUAACGGUAAGCGAUUUCAUCGUGACCACCUGGGGAAUGGGAGGAAAAGUUCGAACAAAUUAUUUUCUAUCUCGGCUCGUAACAUGG